UACGUAGGAUGCAAGCGUUGUCCGGAAUUAUUGGGCGUAAAGAGCGCGCAGGCGGUGUAUCAAGUCAGAUGUGAAAGAGGCCGGCUUAACCGGCAAGGGUCAUUUGAAACUGAUAGACUAGAGUGCAGCAGAGGAUAGUGGAAUUCCCGGUGUAGUGGUGAAAUGCGUAGAUAUCGGGAGGAACACCAGUGGCGAAGGCGGUUGCCUGGGGCUUUGCUGACGCUGAGGAGCGAAAGCGUGGGGAGCGAACAGG
rnacentral:rRNA from 1 species